ACUGAGCUGGUGUAGUGGUUUGAGUGUUGGACUAUGACUCUGGAGACCUGGGAUCAAAUCCCAGUUCAAUC